AUUGAACGCUGGCGGCAUGCCUUACACAUGCAAGUCGAACGGUUGUAGCAAUACAGCAGUGGCAGACGGGUGAGUAACACGUGGGAACCUUCCUAGGGGUACGGAACAACUCAGGGAAACUUGAGCUAAUACCGUAUACGUCCGUGAGGAGAAAGAUUUAUCGCCCUUAGACGGGCCCGCGUCGGAUUAGCUAGUUGGUGGGGUAACGGCCUACCAAGGCGACGAUCCGUAGCUGAUCUUAGAGGAUGAUCAGCCACACUGGGACUGAGACACGGCCCAGACUCCUACGGGAGGCAGCAGUGGGGAAUCUUGGACAAUGGGCGCAAGCCUGAUCCAGCCAUGCCGCGUGAGUGAAGAAGGUCUUCGGAUUGUAAAGCUCUUUUGCCAGGGACGAUAAUGACGGUACCUGGAGAAUAAGCCCCGGCAAACUUCGUGCCAGCCGCCGCGGUAA
rnacentral:rRNA from 1 species